GAUGAAGAACGUAGCGAAAUGCGAUAAGUAAUGUGAAUUGCAGAAUUCAGUGAAUCAUCGAAUCUUUGAACGCACAUUGCGCCCCCUGGUAUUCCGGGGGGCAUGCCUGUUCGAGCGUCAUUUCACCACUCAAGCCUCGCUUGGUAUUGGGCAACGCGGUCCGCCGCGUGCCUCAAAUCGACCGGCUGGGUCUUCUGUCCCCUGAGCGUUGUGGAAACUAUUCGCUAAAGGGUGUUCGGGAGGCUACGCCGUAAAACAACCCCAUUUCUAAGGUUGACCUCGGAUCAGGUAGGGAUACCCGCUGAACUUAAGCAUAUCAAUAAGCGGAGGA
rnacentral:misc_RNA from 1 species